rnacentral:misc_RNA from 1 species
AAGUCGUAACAAGGUAACCGUAGGUGAACCUGCGGUUGGAUCAUUAAUAAAUAGAGUUUUGAACUCGCACUGAUUCACUUUCGGGUGAAUUGGUAAACCCCUGUGCAUUGUUUGUUUCCUUCGGGAAAUCUCUACUUUUUAUACUGACUGAAUCAAUAGAUUUAAAUUAAAAAACAACUUUUAACAACGGAUCUCUUGGCUCUC